UACGUAGGUGGCGAGCGUUGUCCGGAUUUACUGGGCGGAAAGGGCGUGCAGGCGGUUUGUUAAGUGCAGGGUGAAAGCUCCCGGCUCAACUGGGAGAGGUCCUUGCAUACUGGCGAACUCGAGGGAGGCAGAGGAAAGUGGAAUUCCCGGUGUAGUGGUGAUAUGCGUAGAUAUCGGGAGGAACACCUGUGGCGAAGGCGGCUUUCUGGGCCUUACCUGACGCUGAGACGCGAAAGCGUGGGGAGCGAACAGG
rnacentral:rRNA from 1 species